rnacentral:lncRNA from 1 species
CCCACUACUCUCUGACAAGUCGCGACAACGGACACCACUCCACUCUCCAUAACAAACUCCAUGUGGCUCUGAACGGCCCACUGACGUCACUACUCUCCGCAACAAACUCCACGUGGCCACGAACGGCCCACUACCAGGCGGUUACGGAUGUGGCUGUCGAUCAGCUAUGCUCUCCGUCUAUAAAAAGAGACCCCCAGAUACGUUCUUCUCUAAGCUAAAAACUCUAUCUCGAAACUUUGCUAAAAUUUCAUUUGAGUGCUCCAUUUCUGUUGAGGCAGAGAACUGACUUGAGCGUCGGAGGGUCUUGUCGGAGCACCCCCAAC